UACGUAGGGGGCUAGCGUUGUCCGGAAUCAUUGGGCGUAAAGCGCGUGUAGGCGGUCCGGUAAGUCCGCUGUGAAAGUCGGGGGCUCAACCCUCGAAUGCCGGUGGAUACUGUCGGGCUAGAGUGCGGAAGAGGCGAGUGGAAUUCCUGGUGUAGCGGUGAAAUGCGUAGAUAUCAAGAGGAACACCUGCGGCGAAGGCGGGUUGCUGGGCCGACACUGACGCUGAGGCGCGAAAGCCAGGGGAGCGAACGGG
rnacentral:rRNA from 1 species